UACGUAGGGGGCUAGCGUUGUCCGGAUUUAUUGGGCGUAAAGAGCGUGUAGGCGGCCAGGUAGGUCUGCUGUGAAAACUCGAGGCUUAACCUCGAGAUGUCGGCGGAAACCAUCUGGCUAGAGUCCGGAAGAGGAGAGUGGAAUCCUGGUGUAGCGGUGAAAUGCGCGGAUAUCAGGAAGAACACCCGUGGCGAAGGCGGCUCUCUGGGACGGGUACUGGACGCUGAGACGCGAAAGCGUGGGGAGCGAACGAG
rnacentral:rRNA from 1 species